GCUACGGUAGCAUAAGCGGUAGACCACGGAGCGACAGACCGUACAUACGAGGACACGAGGGCCUUAAUCCCGUGGCGGUGUAGUAAUAAAUCCCUCUUCACGGGGAAGAGGAACGCCUCCGUGACUGGAUUUGAGGUCUUCAUAAAGGAGAGAGGGCUUGGGAGCCUGGAUCCCAAGCUUGAGAAAAAGAGGUGGGAGAACCUCGUUCACAAAUAUAAGGUCAGCUUAAGCGUAGUGUCCAACAAAGCCUAGUCCAAUAAAGUAUCUUUCUUGAUCAUAACUUUGCCCCUGUAGAGUAACACACUUGCACAAUGUAGAGAUGGCAUGGCUAGUGAGUAUUUACAUGCAGUGUGCAUGUACAUGGAUGCAAUAUAUUAUGAUUAAGGUGAUUGUUGUUAAUCUUGUUCUUAUCUAUGUAUUGUGCUCAAAGUAAUGUAAAGUAAUCGUAUGGUCAGCCUUCAGUUCAAUAACUAAUUACCAGACCAGUUGAAGGC